AUUGAACGCUGGCGGCAUGCCUUACACAUGCAAGUCGAACGGUAACAGGUCUUCGGAUGCUGACGAGUGGCGAACGGGUGAGUAAUACAUCGGAACGUGCCCGAGAGUGGGGGGUAACGAAGCGAAAGCUUUGCUAAUACCGCAUACGAUCUCAGGAUGAAAGCAGGGGACCGCAAGGACUGGUGCUCAAGGAGCGGACGAUGGCAGAUUAGGUAGUUGGUGGGAUAAAAGCUUACCAAGCCGACGAUCUGUAGCUGGUCUGAGAGGACGACCAGCCACACUGGGACUGAGACACGGCCCAGACUCCUACGGGAGGCAGCAGUGGGGAAUUUUGGACAAUGGGCGCAAGCCUGAUCCAGCCAUGCCGCGUGCAGGAUGAAGGCCUUCGGGUUGUAAACUGCUUUUGUACGGAACGAAAAGACUCCUUCUAAUAAAGGGGGUCCAUGACGGUACCGUAAGAAUAAGCACCGGCUAACUACGUGCCAGCCGCCGCGGUAAGAC
rnacentral:rRNA from 1 species